GUUUGUGGAGAAUGUCCUAUCUGGGGGUCCAAAGGUUGCUCUAAACUCAAUGGCUGAGACUGCCGUGGAGAGACUUCUAAAGAGACUAAUGUACUUUUGUUUUUGUUUCUUUUGUUUUUUUGAGACAGGGUUUCUCUGUGUAGCCCUGGCUGUCCUGGAACUCACUCUGUAGACCAGGCUGACCUCAAAUUCAGAAAUCCACCUGCCUCUGCCUCCCGAGUGCUGGGAUUAAAGGUGUGCGCCACCACCACCUGGCCACUUUUGUUUAUUUUGAGCCUCAGAUCAUCCAGUCCAACCUCAGACUCCAUCAUAGCAGAAGAUGACCUUGAAUUUCGGAUCUUGUGUCCAUCUCCCAAAUCCUGGGGUUGCAGAACUUAUACCUCCACACUGGCUCCUGCUUCUUGUUUCUCUUUGCCUUUUUGAGAUAGCAGCUCUUGCUGGCUUGGAUCUUGCUCUGUGUUCUGCUUAAUAUGGAGAGGGUUUGUUUGUUGGUUUGGUUUGGUAGAGACAAGGUAACUGGCUAAUUGGAAGUCUGUGUAGACCAGGCCAUCUCAUCAAUUUAAAGAGUCUUGGUAUAGUUGGGUUUUGUUUGUUUGGGGUUUUUUGUUUGUUUAAUUACAUUUAAAUGUGGGCCAGCAAACCAUAUUUUUAAGCAACAUAAUAAAUAAACCUUGUUCUAAUUAAGUUAAUGGGGUGUAUAUGUUAGUCAGUUGGUAGUGUAUGAAGCCCUGGUUUAUUUCCCAAUCCCAGGGAGACUGGGCAUAGUCUAAUCCUAACACUUCAAACGUGGAGGCAGGAAGAGCAGGAACUGAAGUCAUUUUGGCUACAUUGGGAAUUCAGAGCCAUCCAUGAGACCCUUUCUCAAGAAAACAACAACCAAACAACUCCCCCCCCCCCAAACCUAAUUAAGCAUGGCUUGUUAGUUUGUGAAGAGUUGUAAUAGAAUGAUAUUGCCAGGCAUGGUGGCACAUGCUUGGAGUCAUAGCACUCAGAUGGUUGAGAUUAGAAGAUCUUUGAGGCCAUCCUGAGCUAUCUAGAGAGACCCUGUUCCAAAAACAACAAACAGACUGUAAAAAUCGUGUACAUUCUGCUAUCCCAGGCAGAAGAGUUAGCAGUCCUCUCAUGGUUACAAACUAGCUUCACAUUUCACUUAGCUGAGUUACUUUUUCUUUAGUUUUUUCUUUUUGUUUUUCAAGACAAGGUCUCUCUGUGUAUCCCUGACUGCCUUAGAACCCGAUCUGUAGACCAGGCUGGCCUCCAACUCAGAGAUCACUUGCCUCUGCCUCUGCCUCUGCCUCUGCCUCCUGUCUGCUGGGAUUAAAGGCAUAUGCCACCACCGACUGGUUGGCAAGCCUUCUUAAUAUGAGGGUCCUAGACCACCACUUUGUCCCUCCUAUGGAAAAUAAAUAAGAAGGCAUGAAAUGCUAGUAGCUACAUUCUAAACCAGGGUAGUGACUGAGUAGCAAGUCAGCCAGGAAGUAGAUCUAGACAGCCAGGCAGGCAGAGAGGAUUCUUAGUUGGGGAAGAUGUGCUAGGGAAGACAGCUGAACUGUGUGGGUGUAAUGUAUGUCAGGCAUCAAUGCCUUCAUCUCAUUAUGCUGCUCAGGAGUUAACUUGGAAUUAUGGGUAGUUUGAACUUUGCUGGGUUAUAAAGCAAAGGUUUUAUGGGAGCAUUUUGAUACUAGUUGCGAUGUACUCCUAUCCCAGAUUUUCAUUCACUGCAGUCUCAUUCAUUAGUGCUUUGCCCAUAGUGGUUCUAGCUCAGACCAUUUGAAGCCUUUCUACAUAGAUUGUCAGGUACAUUUUCUUUGUGGUACUUGGGAUUGAACCCAAGACAUUAUGAGUUCUGGAACCCUCUACACUGAUUACAUCUCAGGUCCUUUGAAGGGUUUGUUGUUGUUGUGUUUUAGCUUCUUGUAUGUAUGUAUGUACAGUUUGCAUUCAGGGCCUUCAGAAACCAGAAGAGGGUCAGAUACUCUGGGUCUGGAGUUAAGGAUAGUUAAUGAUUCACAUGUGGGUUAUGGAAAAGGUGGGACCAUCCUUUGUUUCUUUGAGGUAGGUUGCCCUGGCCAGCAUUAGGAUUGUAGUCCUGUCUCAGUCAGACCCCCAGGUGAGUUAGAUAACAUGUUGUUUUGCUAAUGGUUGGCUAAAGUUUUUUUGUUUGUUUGUUUUGUUUUUGUUUUUGUUUUUUGAUUUUUCGAGACAGAGUUUCUCUGUAUAGCCCUGGCUGACCUGGAGCUCACUCUGUACACCAGGCUGGCCUUGAACUCAGAAAUCCACCUGCCUCUGCCUUCCAAGUGCUGGGAUUAAAGGCGUGUGCCACCAAGCCCAGCUCUAAAUACAGCUCAGUGAGAGGGUAGGUACAAGAUAGCUGUGUGAGGCCCUGCGUUUUUAUUUUUAUGCUUUUAAAUAUCAAUCAUCCUUUAUUCUUAGACCCAGCCACGUUAUCAGUAUAAUGCCAUUGUCACUCUUAGACAAUUAGUAUCUUACCUGUAUCAGCACUCAGAAUGAACCCUGACUUCUGGGUUGCAGAAGGAGGUUAGUUUUAAACUUGUCUUUGUCCACGAGUCCAAUAAAAACUCAAGUGCUACACAAUAGGUUUUUUUUGUGUGUGUUUUUUGUUUUUUAAAAAAGUCAACAUGUAGUGCCGAGUGUGGUGGCUCAUGCCUUUAAUCCCAGCACUUGGGAGGCAGAGGCAGGCGAAUUUCUGAGUUUGAGGCCAGCCUGGUCUACAGAGUGAGUUCCAGGACAGCCAGGGCUACACAGAGGAACAACCCUGUCUCAAAAAUCAAAAA
rnacentral:lncRNA from 1 species